rnacentral:rRNA from 1 species
UACGGGGGGGGCAAGCGUUGUUCGGAAUUACUGGGCGUAAAGGGCUCGUAGGCGGCCAACUAAGUCAGACGUGAAAUCCCUCGGCUUAACCGGGGAACUGCGUCUGAUACUGGAUGGCUUGAGGUUGGGAGAGGGAUGCGGAAUUCCAGGUGUAGCGGUGAAAUGCGUAGAUAUGUGGAAGAACACCUGUGGCGAAAGCGGUUUUCUAGCCUACUCUGGACGCUGAGGCACGAAAGCAAGGGGAGCAAACAGG